rnacentral:rRNA from 1 species
AGUGAACGUUGGCGGCGUGCCUAAUACAUGCAAGUCGAACGGAGAUUGUAGCAAUACGGUCUCAGUGGGCGAACGGGUGAGUAACGCGUUGGUGACCUGCCCCGAAGUGUGGAAUAACAGAUCGAAAGAGCUGCUAAUACCGCAUAAUAUCCAGAGGACUAGAUGCCUUUGGAUUAAAGGAUUUAUUCGCUUCGGGAGGGGCCUGCGUCCCAUCAGCUAGUUGGUAAGGUAAAGGCUUACCAAGGCUAUGACGGGUAGGGGACCUGAGAGGGUGGCCCCCCCACAAUGGAACUGAAAACACGGUCCAUACACCUACGGGUGGCAGCAGUAGGGAAUAUUAGUAAUGGGCGAAAGCCUGAACUAGCAACGCCGCGUGUGCGAAGAAGGCCUUCGGGUUGUAAACCUCUGUCAUUAGGGAAGAAGAAAGUGACGGUACCUAAUGAGGAAGCCCCGGCUAACUACGUG